rnacentral:rRNA from 1 species
AGUGAACGCUGGCGGUAGGCCUAACACAUGCAAGUCGAACGGCAGCACAGUAAGAGCUUGCUCUUACGGGUGGCGAGUGGCGGACGGGUGAGGAAUACAUCGGAAUCUACUUUUUCGUGGGGGAUAACGUAGGGAAACUUACUCUAAUACCGCAUACGACCUACGGGUGAAAGCAGGGGAUCUUCGGACCUUGCGCGAUUGAAUGAGCCGAUGUCGGAUUAGCUAGUUGGCGGGGUAAAGGCCCACCAAGGCGACGAUCCGUAGCUGGUCUGAGAGGAUGAUCAGCCACACUGGAACGGGGACACGGUCCAGACGCCUGCGGGAGGCAGCAGUGGGGAAUAUGGGACAAUGGGCGCAAGCCUGAUCCAGCCAUACCGCGUGGGUGAAGAAGGCCUUCGGGUUGUAAAGCCCUUUUGUUGGGAAAGAAAAGCAGCAGGUUAAUACCCCGCUGUUCUGACGGUACCCAAAGAAUAAGCACCGGCUAACUUCGUG